rnacentral:lncRNA from 1 species
CUCUGAGCUCUUACCAAAACAUAAAACAUGGCGGACAAUUUCUCUCGCCUUGGAUCUGAAACCAGUAGUAACCACCAACUUCAAUCAGUUAUUAUGACUAACAAUUGAAAUAGGAAUCUGACAUUCCCGCCGAGGAGGGCAUGCUAGCUAGCUACCGUGUUUUGAUUCAUAUCAGGCAUUUUCUUAUGAAACAGCUCAACUAGCUCGACUCGGGAGCUCAUCAUGCCAGGGGACAUACUGUAGGCUUCCGGAGCCAGCUAGUUAUUAUUCCACCAUGGGCAACAACAACUAGUUACCAGUUCGUUUAACUAAAUAUGUUCCAACUCAUAGCUAGUUUAUCCAGUGACCACCGCAUUUAGAAAGAUAGCAACUGACUGAACUCUAGCAAGCUGGCUAGCUAGCAUGCUAGCUCACACUGGCCAUGUAGUAGCCAAUACCAGACCGGUUGUGGAAAGUACCCCUCCCUCUCUCGGGGUCUGAGGGGAGGGUUCAUCUCCCUGGACACCAUGUCUGUCAGCCCCACAGGGCCAAUCGGUUGUAUAAACCCAGACACAGCGGCUACGCCUUCCUUUGAUGUCAACCAACGAGACCAGAAAUGUGUAUUCUGUGCCUCGAGGGCAAAGCCUUCCCACAAAACCAGUGUUAACCAUCAUGCAUCACUGGAGCUCCUGCAUGUCUGCAUAUUCUACCACCGCUCUCCUCUCUCAGACUUCUCAGUCUCUGUUCACACUUUAUGUAGUGUCAUCUAGUAUGGAAAGGAGGCAACAAUGGCUCUCCCGACUGAAGAGUGAAUUCGGCAACAGCCCCUUGGUCUCCAACGUGGCUUUCGGCUUCAUCCUGAUGGGCUUGGAGAAGCUGGUUGAGCUGGAGUUCGAGUGUCCGUGCGACCCCAAAUGGAACGGGCUAUUUUCUUCCGCCUUCUUCGUCAUUCCUGCUAUCAUGGCCUUCAUGCUGAUGCUAAUCAUCCAGGACUGCAGGUACGACCUGAGCGGCUGCCCCAGGACAGUGUCCAUCUCCAGCCUGGUUCCGCCCAUCGUCUGGCUGAUCCUGCUCUUCCUGGAUGGACAGUACUUUGCGUGUGCGCUAACAGACUGGAACGGCAGGUUUGUGAUUGUUGACAAGGCGGCUCCUCAGAAGUGGUGUGAGCCUCCUCAUGACGAUGGCACGCUGCAGGAUCUCAUGGUGCACUCUCAGGAAUUAUUUGUGGAGUCUCAGGUUAUUGGUAUUGCUCUGUUGAUAUUCAUCUGUGUGGGACUCAUAGUGUACGUGAUCAGAGAGAGCUGCCAGCAGGAAGAGGAACUCCAGGAAGUCAACAACACUUAUGAGAUGUAUGAGAUGACAUGACUUCGACAACAUCAUUAAGCCAAAACCAGUUUUUUGAAGCUAUGGGAGAGAAUUCAUAAUGUUUUCUCUUUCAAAUGCCUCAAGACUGCAAGACCUUGUCUCUCCAGCAACUUCUAAAGGGAAGGGAACACUGCCGGUACCUCCCUCUCCAACCAAGGAGCAUGAACAGAGGUGCAAACAGAGGAAAGGAGGAAAUUCACCAACUCUUGGCGAUAGAAAUACUUGUUCUUGUUAAAACCAACACGUUUUGGCCUGUAGCCUUCUUCAGGGUCCAGUGACUUUUACCUUUCCUGCAAACUGUACAUGAAUGUUAUACUUUUGAAAAUGAUACUUUUCUGAUGAACAGUUUUUUAAAGUAGCCGGAGGGUGGGGGUAUUUUUGUUGGUCUAUCUGCGCUUUAGAAAUGUUCUCUGUAGGUGUCAAUGUGUCCCAAUUUUUAUAAAUAUUAAAAUGUGUUAAGGUAUGGUCACGUUUGUAUGUAAGGUAGUUAUAGCAACUAAUAAAAUAAUGUUUUCCUACUUUUUUGAUAGAUUUGGUCAGGUUGCGUUGACAUCAAAUUGCCCAGCUAUCAUUUAUACUAAACAAUCAAAUAGGAGCUUUUACAAACAUUGG